GGUCAUUUUUGGCAGCUCAUAUACUAAAAUUGAAAUGAUGCAGAGAAAUUUAGUAUGGUCCCUGAGCAAGGAUUAUGUGUGAAUUUAAGGACUGAAAUCUCAAUAG
rnacentral:snRNA from 1 species